rnacentral:hammerhead_ribozyme from 1 species
AUCCAGCUGAUGAGUCCGAAAUAGGACGAAGUGGCUCGCUUCCUGGAU